rnacentral:rRNA from 1 species
GGGCCCGCACAAGCGGUGGAGUAUGUGGUUUAAUUCGAUGCAACGCGAAGAACCUUACCAGGGUUUGACAUCCUGCGAAUCUCUUGGAAACGAGAGAGUGCCUUCGGGAACGCAGUGACAGGUGGUGCAUGGCUGUCGUCAGCUCGUGUCGUGAGAUGUUGGGUUAAGUCCCGCAACGAGCGCAACCCACGUCUUUAGUUGCCAGCAUUUUAGUUGGGCACUCUAGAGAGACUGCCGGUGAUAAACCGGAGAAGGUGUGGAUGACGUCAAGUCAUCAUGCCCCCUUGACAUCUGGGCUACACACGUACUACAAGUGCUACGGACAAAGGGCUGCAAGUUCGCGAGGACAAGCAAAUCCCAUAAACGUGGCUC